UACGAAGGACCCGAGCGUUAUCCGGAUUUAUUGGGAUUAAAGGGUGCGUAGGCGGACUUACAAGUCAGUGGUGAAAUCUCCCCGCUCAACGGGGAAACUGCCAUUGAAACUAUUUGUCUUGAGUACAUUUGAGGCGGGCGGAAUGUGUCAUGUAGAGGUGAAAUUCUUAGAUAUGACACAGAACACCAAUUGCGAAGGCAGCUCGCUAAACUGUAACUGACGCUGAGGCACGAAAGCGUGGGUAGCAAACAGG
rnacentral:rRNA from 1 species